GACAUGAUUGAGUUUUUUUUUUAAUAAAAACCGAACCAGCCUGACCUAUGUACACCCUACUUCUGGUAUUAAUUUUUCGGUGAAAUUUUGCUAGAAAAAGCCUCACCCAUCACCGGAAAACCCAUAAAAAACGGCGACCAAGCUUUUCGCCGAAAAAUUGGUUCCGUCCCUUAUCGAACCCACAACACCAGCGAAUCACCGAUCAAAACUCACCCCCACCGUCUGUCUUUCGAAUUUCGGCCAACUAUGGCUGGCAAAAACGCCACUUCAGCCAAUGGCCACCGCUACGUCGCCCCCUUUUUCCUUUUCUCCCGUCCCUGUCAUGCCAUAAUAGUCCAGAUCUGGUCAAACUUUGACCAUCCGGCGCUGCUCUGGCAACCAUCACUACCACCGGUGACAUCUCACCGUGAAAAAGACCCCGCGGCUCCACCCUCCAUCUCCCCAUCAGCCGACUCCAGCCAGUAACAACCAGUUCACCGGCCACCACCCACUGAAAAACGAUCCAAAGCAUCACCUUACGUUAAUUCCGGCGAGCACCUAUCGUACAACGAUGCCACCGGUUUUCCUUUUCCAAAAUUGGAUUUAAAUGUUUAAUAUUUAUAUUUUUCUUCAAUUGGUAUAUGAUGUAAUUCAAAUUGUUUGUUUUCUUUGCGACUUUGUGUUUGAGUUUGAUCUCGAGAAUUUUCAUAUUUAAUGUAUAUAUGAUCCGAAUUUGUAUUUUAAUAAUUAUAAAUAUAUGAUCCGAAUUUGUAUAAUAAUAAUUAUAAUAAAUAAAUAAAUAAAUAGAUUUAAG
rnacentral:lncRNA from 1 species